rnacentral:rRNA from 1 species
AUACGGAGGGUGCAAGCGUUGUUCGGAUUUACUGGGCGUAAAGAGCGUGUAGGCGGUUUGGCAAGUCAGAUGUGAAAGCCCUGGGCUCAACUCAGGAAGUGCAUUUGAAACUGCCAUACUAGAGUAUGGGAGAGGAGAGUGGAAUUCCCAGUGUAGAGGUGAAAUUCGUAGAUAGUGGGAGGAACACCGGUGGCGAAGGCGACUCUCUGGACCAAUACUGACGCUGAGACGCGAAAGCGUGGGGAGCAAACAGGAUUAGAAACCCGAGUAGUCC